CAAACAAGGGGAUUUUCAGAUGGUCUUUGCAUGCCUUCUCCUUUGUUUUCCCUUAGAGGGAGAGGCGGCUGCUACUCUAAAUCUUGGCCUGGAGGAGCCAUGCACGCCAAGUUGAAGGGGGCGGACGGCUUAUGUAAGAUGAGGGGACUGAAGCCCUGUUAAGCUGAGCUGGGGAGCAGUUGAUCUGCGCUCUGCUCAGAGAAGCUCCAGUUUCUCCGGAGACAAUGUAAGCUGACCUUUCUGGAUCCCCCUUGCUUCUCUUACAAUUGACUCAACAGGAACUGUCAUCAGUGGAGAGUCUUGGGGCUGGCGGGGCCUGCAGCCGGUACUAGACUGGAUGGAGACCAACUACAGUAGCAAUGUGGGCCAGGAGCUUGACUCUCAGAGAACUUGGAUCAUGACCUUCAAACUUCUUCUGAGCAGGAAGAGCAUGAAAUUUGAGUCAGCAAGAUCUGGAUUUCCAGAUUAUGAGUUUUCCUGUUGGAUGUGGGACAGUUUUGCAUGCAUUCCUUGUGAUUUCACCAUGGCUGGGAUGUCAGGAAUCAUGGAGCUGGACAUUGGCACAUCUUGUCAAGUUAUAUAGCAGGCCAUGCAGGCAGUGGGAAUGGCCAAUGUCUGGCUCAGGUCCAGGACCUUCUAGUGACUAACUCCAGGCCCAUAAGAGCCAAGUGUCCCAGAAGCAGUAUGGAGGAUGCAACCUCACAUCCACGAAGCGGACAGAUGUUUGUGAAUGUUUACUCUGUGCCCACUGUAAGGUGUUGAAAAUGUUGAUAGGAACCCCCAGCUAUGGAAGGCCUGCUGUACAAAAAUUGUGGUCAUAUGAGGACUGGCCUCAACCAACUGCUCAGGUCUUGGCUCCUGGAACAUCCCACCCCACACCUUGAGUUGUGACCACCCUCGUGAAAUCUCUGUGUCCUGCUCAGGAGCAUGCCAGGUACUGCCUCACCCAUCCAUCUUUGCCCAUGGGGACUUCUCUGUCUGUAUCUGAUCAUCUCCUCCUCUUUGCCCAUGGGUAUUUUAUCUAUGUUUCAAGAGCCUCUGAGAAGCCAUCCCUUAUCUCAGGUGAGAAUUUCUGGCUCCUACACCUCCUGAUUUGAACCCUAACUGGAGACGUACUCACCCCUAGGAAGUUGUAAGCGAUUUAAGGUCAAGACUUACAUAAAAAACAUGGGGGACUUUCUC